UGCACUGCACUACUCUCAUGAGUAAGAACAAGGAGGAUUUGGCCUCAGGGAAUAAAGCUCAGGAAAAAAUAAAAAUAAAAAUAAUAAUAAUUAAAAAAAAAAAUGAAAAAAUCCAACUACAUUUUUUAAACUUAAAAUGUGCUCUAAUUUCACCUGGUUGGUGAUUUCAGAGAGAAGCUAAUUAAAGCCAAUGGAGAAUUUUAAAACUGAAGAGAAAAAAACAAAUUAGGGCAGCAGGGGGAAAAUAAGUUUUCUAAUUAUAUAUAAUGAGGAUAUUUUUGCAUAGUGCAAGAAGUAAAUUUAUACCUUUUUUAUUAUAUAUAGACUACGAUGAUUUCUGCUGUGUGGCCCAGGAUGCUACACAUAUAGCUGCAUGUACCCACUGUGCAAGAUCAAGAGUCACAGAUGAAAGAUGCUUGCUACAUAUUAGCCAAGAUUUCUGAGGAAGGGGUAAAGAGAUAAAAGAGUCAGUCCUUAUUCUAAAGGAAGAAGCCAGCCUAAACUUGGAAAUUCAAAGUUAAAGAUGACAUUCUGAAUUCAAUUCAUCCUCUGGUGCCUUGUUAUUGAAGAACAUAUAAUGCUAACAUCACACACAGAUCUGAGGCUCCACCAUUACCUAAGCACAACAGGGUAAGCUAACGACAGUGUGUCAGCCUUUUGUUGGCCCGUGUCACAACCUUAACAUUACUUUGUAAGAAGAACUGCUGUCAGGGCAUUUCAAGUUGCAUUUGAAAUAGUGCCAAGAAUGAGGAGGCCCCACUGUCCAAUUGCCUACCCAGUAUUAACAAACUAGAUAGGGAAGAAAAAAAAAAAAAAAAAAUCCUCAGUUUGCAUCUCAGUGCAUGAAAAAUCCUAAAGUGUUGCAGGGACAAUUGAUUAUCCAGAGGGCACCACACCAUUUCUGACUGAAAAAGACCUUUUCUGGCAUCCUACUGGUUGUCUAUAUGAACAUUUCUUUUGUAUUUUCCUUUCAACAAGUGAGAAAUGAGGAAGGGGUAGAAAAUGAGGUUAUGGGGAGGAAAAAAAAAUAAAUAAAAAAA